rnacentral:rRNA from 1 species
UUGGAGGGCAAGUCUGGUGCCAGCAGCCGCGGUAAUUCCAGCUCCAAUAGCGUAUAUUAAAGUUGUUGCAGUUAAAAAGCUCGUAGUUGAAUUUCGGGGUCAGUAGGUUGGUCGUGCCACCGGUACGUACUGGUCUCACUGAUUCCUCCCUCCUGAUGAGCUGUAAUGCCAUUAAUUUGGUGUUGCAGGGAAUCUGGACUGUUACUUUGAAAAAAUUAGAGUGUUUAAAGCAGGCUAACGCUUGAAUACAUUAGCAUGGAAUAAUGAAAUAGGACGUUCGGUCCUAUUUUGUUGGUUUCUAGGAUUGACGUAAUGAUUAAUAGGGAUAGUUGGGGGCAUUAGUAUUCAAUUGUCAGAGGUGAAAUUCUUGGAUUUAUUGAAGACUAACUACUGCGAAAGCAUUUGCCAAGGAUGUUUUCAUUAAUCAAGAACGAAAGUUAGGGGAUCGAAGACGAUCAGAUACCGUCGUAGUCUUAACCAUAAACUAUGCCGACUAGGGAUCGGAUGAUGUUAAUUUUUUAAUGACUCAUUCGGCGCCUUACGGGAAACCAAAGUGUUUGGGUUC